CUUCAAAACAGCCUUAGAGCCAACCCGUCUCUGUAGUAAAAGAGUGGGAAGAUUUUCAAGUAGAAGCGACAAACCUAUCGAGCUUAGAUAUAGCUGGUUAUUCAGGAAAAGAAUAUAAGUUCUGCCUUUAACCCCCCCCAUGUUAAUAAACAAAUUAAAAGAUUUUAGAGUUACUCAAUUAAGGAACAGCUUAAUUGAAACAGGAUACAGCCUAGACAACAGGGUAAACCAUUUUACAUUAAACAAGUGGGCCUAAGAGCAGCCACCUUUCAAAAAGCGUUAAAGCUUAAUUUACCUCAAAUAAAAUACCUAAAACAAUCAUGAACCCUCCCUCCCCACUGAAUGAUCUCAUAGAAUAUGAAAAACAUCAUGCUGGAACUAGUAACAAGAACCUAAAGUUCUCCUAAAUGUAAGUAUAAGCCAAAAUGGAUACUCCAUUGGCAGUUAACGAAAAUGAGCAUCUUACAGAAACAUAUCAAGAAAACCCUGAAUUUCCAAUCGUUAACCUAACACCAGAACAUUACCGGAAAGAUUAAAGGAAAAAGAAGGAACUCGGCAAACUUCCACCCCGCCUGUUUACCAAAAACAUCGCCUCUUGACACUAAUAAGAGGUCAAGCCUGCCCAGUGACAAAGUUCAACGGCCGCGGUACCCUAACCACGCAAAGGUAGCAUAAUCACUUGUCCCCUAAAUAGGGACUUGUAUCAACGGCAUCACGAGGGUCGCACUGUCUCCUUAUUCCAAUCAGUGAAACUGAUCUCCCUGUGAAAAAGCAGGGCUAAACAUAUAAGACGAGAAGACCCCAUGGAGCUUUAAACCCAUAGCAACUUAACUUUAAACUUCUACACAUCUAAAAGAAAUGCCCAUUGGUUUUAGGUUGGGGUGACCACGGAGUAAAAAUAAACCUCCAUAACGCAUAAACCUAAAUUUUUAUUCAAGAGCCACAACUCUAAAAACUAGCACACUAAUGUCCACUGAUCCGAUAAUCGAUUAAUGAACCAAGUUACCCUGGGGAUAACAGCGCAAUCUAUUUCAAGAGUUCUUAUCGACAAAUAGGCUUACGACCUCGAUGUUGGAUCAGGGUAUCCUAGUGGUGCAACCGCUACUAACGGUUCGUUUGUUCAACGAUUAAAACCCU
rnacentral:rRNA from 1 species